rnacentral:rRNA from 1 species
UACGAAGGGGCUAGCGUUGCUCGGAAUCACUGGGCGUAAAGGGUGCGUAGGCGGGUCUUUUAAGUCAGGGGUGAAAUCCUGGAGCUCAACUCCAGAACUGCCUUUGAUACUGAGGAUCUUGAGUUCGGGAGAGGUGAGUGGAACUGCGAGUGUAGAGGUGAAAUUCGUAGAUAUUCGCAAGAACACCAGUGGCGAAGGCGGCUCACUGGCCCGAUACUGACGCUGAGGCACGAAAGCGUGGGGAGCAAACAGG